CCUACGGGUGGCAGCAGUGGGGAAUAUUGCACAAUGGGCGCAAGCCUGAUGCAGCCAUGCCGCGUGUGUGAAGAAGGCCUUCGGGUUGUAAAGCACUUUCAGCGGGGAGGAAGGCGGUGAGGUUAAUAACCUCAUCGAUUGACGUUACCCGCAGAAGAAGCACCGGCUAACUCCGUGCCAGCAGCCGCGGUAAUACGGAGGGUGCAAGCGUUAAUCGGAAUUACUGGGCGUAAAGCGCACGCAGGCGGUCUGUCAAGUCGGAUGUGAAAUCCCCGGGCUCAACCUGGGAACUGCAUUCGAAACUGGCAGGCUAGAGUCUGGUAGAGGGGGGUAGAAUGCCAGGUGUAGCGGUGAAAUGCGUAGAGAUCUGGAGGAAUACCGGUGGCGAAGGCGGCCCCCUGGACAAAGACUGACGCUCAGGUGCGAAAGCGUGGGGAGCAAACAGGAUUAGAUACCCUAGUAGUC
rnacentral:rRNA from 1 species